rnacentral:rRNA from 1 species
GAUGAACGCUGGCGGCGUGCCUAAUACAUGCAAGUCGAGCGAACAGACGAGUAGCUUGCUCCUCUGACGUUAGCGGCGGACGGGUGAGUAACACGUGGAUAACCUACCUAUAAGACUGGGAUAACUUCGGGAAACCGGAGCUAAUACCGGUAAAUAUAUUCAACCGCAUGGUUCAAUAGUUAAAGUCGGUUUUGCUGUCACUUAUCGAUGGAUCAGAGCCGCAUUAGCUAGUUGGGAAGGUAACGGCUUACCAAGGCAACGAUGCGUAGCCGACCUGGGAUGGUGAUGGGCCACACUAGAACUGUGAUGAGGUCCAGACUACUACGGGACGCAACAGUAGGGAAUGUUACGCAAUGGGCGAAAGCCUGACGGAGCAACGCCGCGUGGGUGAUGAAGGUCUUCGGAUCGUAAAACUCUGUUAUUAGGGAAGAACAAAUGUGUAAGUAACUAUGCACGACUUGACGGUACCUAACGAGAAAGCCACGGCUAACUACGUG